UACGAAGGGGGCUAGCGUUGUUCGGAAUUACUGGGCGUAAAGCGCGCGUAGGCGGCUUUGCAAGUCGGGUGUGAAAUCCCCAGGCUUAACCUGGGAACUGCAUUCGAGACUGCAUUGCUAGAGUAUGGGAGAGGGAAGUGGAAUUUCCGGUGUAGCGGUGAAAUGCGUAGAUAUCGGAAGGAACAUCAGUGGCGAAAGCGACUUCCUGGACCAGUACUGACGCUCAUGUGCGAAAGCGUGGGGAGCAAACAGG
rnacentral:rRNA from 1 species